rnacentral:rRNA from 1 species
GACGUACUGCGCGAACGUUAUUCGGAAUCACUGGGCUUAAAGGGUGCGCAGGCGGCUCGCCAAGCCCGAAGUGAAAUGCCCCGGCCCAACCGGGGACGUGCUUCGGGGACUGGCGGGCUCGGGCGAGCUAGGGGUCUGUGGAACUCCCGGUGGAGCGGUGAAAUGCGUAGAUAUCUGGAGGAACACCGGUGGCGAAGGCGGCAUCCUGGACCAACACUGACACUGAGGAGCGAAAGCCAGGGGAGCAAACGGG